rnacentral:rRNA from 1 species
GAUGAACGCUGGCGGCGUGCCUAAUACAUGCAAGUCGAGCGAACGGACGAGAAGCUUGCUUCUCUGAUGUUAGCGGCGGACGGGUGAGUAACACGUGGAUAACCUACCUAUAAGACUGGGAUAACUUCGGGAAACCGUAGCUAAUACCGGAUAAUAUUUGGAACGGCUUGGUUCAAAAGUGAAAGAGGGUUUUCCUGUCACUAUUAGAUGGUUCCGGGCUGCAUUGGUUGGUUGGUAAGGUAACGGCUAACCAAGGCAACGAUGCAUAGCCGACCUGAGAGGGGGAUCGGCCACACUGGAACUGAGACACGGUCCAGACUCCUACGGGAGGCAGCAGUAGGGAAUCUUCCGCAAUGGGCGAAAGCCUGACGGAGCAACGCCGCGUGAGUGAUGAAGGUCUUCGGAUCGUAAAACUCUGUUAUUAGGGAAGAACAUAUGUGUAAGUAACUGUGCACAUCUUGACGGUACCUAAUCAGAAAGCCACGGCUAACUACGU